rnacentral:rRNA from 2 species
UUAAGUUAACAAGGGCGCAUGGUGAAUGCCUUGGCACUAGGAGCCGAUGAAGGACGGGACUAACACCGAUAUGCUUCGGGGAGCUGUACGUAAGCUAUGAUCCGGAGAUUUCCGAAUGGGGCAACCCAGCAGUUUUAAUCAACUGUUACCACUAGAUGAAUUCAUAGUCUAGUUGGAGGUAAACGCUGUGAACUGAAACAUCUCAUUAGCAGCAGGAAUAUAAAGAAAUUUCGAUUCCCUAAGUAGCGGCGAGCGAACGGGGAGCAGCCCAAACCAAAGUGCUUGCACUUUGGGGUUGUAGGACUGAACAUUUGAGUUACCAAAGAACUUGAUAGUCGAAGGAUUUGGGAAAAUCCGCCAUAGAUGGUGAUAGCCCAGUAGAUUAAAUCAAAUUCUCUCAGUUCAGGAUCCUGAGUACGGCGGAACACGUGAAAUUCCGUCGGAAUCCGGGAGGACCAUCUCCCAAGGCUAAAUACUACCUAGUGACCGAUAGUGAACCAGUACCGUGAGGGAAAGGUGAAAAGCACCCCGGGAGGGGAGUGAAAUAGUUCCUGAAACCAUGUGCCUACAAUAAGUCAGAGCGCGUUAAUGCGUGAUGGCGUGCCUUUUGUAGAAUGAACCGGCGAGUUAUGAUCCCGUGCAAGGUUAAGACUAAAAAGUCGGAGCCGUAGCGAAAGCGAGUCUGAAAUGGGCGUUUUGAGUACGAGGUUAUAGACCCGAAACCAGGUGACCUAUCCAUGUCCAGGUUGAAGGUGCGGUAAAACGCACUGGAGGACCGAACCCGUGUAAGUUGAAAAUUGCUGGGAUGAGGUGUGGAUAGCGGUGAAAUUCCAAACGAACUUGGAGAUAGCUGGUUCUCUCCGAAAUAGCUUUAGGGCUAGCCUCGGAAUUAGGAUCAUGGAGGUAGAGCACUAUUUGGACUAGGGGCCCGUCUUGGGUUACUGAAUUCAGAUAAACUCCGAAUGCCAUUGAUUCAUAUCCGGGAGUCAGACGAUGAGUGAUAAGAUCCACCGUCGAAAGGGGAACAGCCCAGACCAUCAGUUAAGGUCCCUAAAUGUAUGCUAAGUGGAAAAGGAUGUGGAGUUGCAUAGACAACUAGGAUGUUGGCUCAGAAGCAGCCACCAUUUAAAGAGUGCGUAAUAGCUCACUAGUCGAGUGAUCCUGCGCCGAAAAUGUACCGGGGCUAAGCAUACUACCGAAACCAUGGAUGCGACCAUUAGGUCGCGUGAUAGGAGAGCGUUCUAAGGGCGGUGAAGCAAGAUCGUGAGGACUUGUGGAGCGCUUAGAAGUGAGAAUGCCGGUAUGAGUAGCGAAAGAUAGGUGAGAAUCCUAUCCACCGAAUGACUAAGGUUUCCUGGGGAAGGCUCGUCCUCCCAGGGUUAGUCGGGACCUAAGUCGAGGCCGAGAGGCGUAGACGAUGGAUAACAGGUUGAGAUUCCUGUACUAGUUAAGUGCGUUUGAGCAAUGGAGGGACGCAGGAGGCUAAGAUGUGCAUUCUGUUGGAUUAGAAUGUCCAAGCAGUAAGUCUUGUGAAGAGUCAAAUGCUUUUCACUUUAAGGACAAGCUGUGAUGGGGAGCGAAAUUUAGUAGCGAAGCGUCUGAUGUCACACUGCCGAGAAAAGCUUCUAGUGAGUACUUAACUACCCGUACCGCAAACCGACACAGGUAGUCGAGGAGAGAAUCCUAAGGUGAGCGAGUGAACUCUCGUUAAGGAACUCGGCAAAAUGACCCCGUAACUUCGGGAGAAGGGGUGCUGAUCGCAAGAUCAGCCGCAGUGAAUAGGCCCAGGCGACUGUUUAUCAAAAACACAGGUCUCUGCAAAAUCGUAAGAUGACGUAUAGGGGCUGACGCCUGCCCGGUGCUGGAAGGUUAAAAGGAUGGGUUAGCUUCGGCGAAGCUCAGAAUUGAAGCCCCAGUAAACGGCGGCCGUAACUAUAACGGUCCUAAGGUAGCGAAAUUCCUUGUCGGGUAAGUUCCGACCCGCACGAAAGGCGUAACGAUCUGGGCACUGUCUCAACGAGAGACUCGGUGAAAUUAUAUUGUCCGUGAAGAUGCGGACUACCCGCGACAGGACGGAAAGACCCCAUGGAGCUUUACUGUAGCUUGAUAUUGAGUGUUUGUACAGCUUGUACAGGAUAGGUAGGAGCCAUAGAAACCGGAACGCUAGUUUCGGUGGAGGCGUUGGUGGGAUACUACCCUCGCUGUAUGACCACUCUAACCCGCACCACUAAUCGUGGUGGGAGACAGUGUCAGGUGGGCAGUUUGACUGGGGCGGUCGCCUCCUAAAAAGUAACGGAGGCGCCCAAAGGUUCCCUCAGAAUGGUUGGAAAUCAUUCGCAGAGUGUAAAGGCACAAGGGAGCUUGACUGCGAGACAGACAGGUCGAGCAGGGACGAAAGUCGGGCUUAGUGAUCCGGUGGUACCGUAUGGAAGGGCCAUCGCUCAACGGAUAAAAGCUACCCUGGGGAUAACAGGCUUAUCUCCCCCAAGAGUCCACAUCGACGGGGAGGUUUGGCACCUCGAUGUCGGCUCAUCGCAUCCUGGGGCUGUAGUCGGUCCCAAGGGUUGGGCUGUUCGCCCAUUAAAGCGGUACGCGAGCUGGGUUCAGAACGUCGUGAGACAGUUCGGUCCCUAUCCGUCGCGGGCGUAGGAAAUUUGAGAGGACCUGUCCUUAGUACGAGAGGACCGGGAUGGACAUACCUCUGGUGUACCAGUUGUGCCGCCAGGCGCAUCGCUGGGUAGCUACGUAUGGAUGUGAUAAACGCUGAAAGCAUCUAAGUGUGAAACACACCUCGAGAUGAGAUUUCCCAUUCCUUUAUGGAAGUAAGACCCCUGAAAGAUGAUCAGGUAGAUAGGUUAGAAGUGGCAGUGCGGUGACGCAUGAAGCGGACUAAUACUAAUCGGUCGAGGACUUAACCAAG